rnacentral:antisense_RNA from 1 species
CUUCAGCGACCCGAGCCACAGCGGCUCGGCGCGCCCCUGGCCGUAGGUGGCCAGCACCGACUGCGCCUC